UACGUAGGGUGCGAGCGUUAAUCGGAAUUACUGGGCGUAAAGCGUGCGCAGGCGGUUCGUUAAGUCAGAUGUGAAAGCCCCGGGCUCAACCUGGGAACUGCAUUUGAAACUGGCGGGCUUGAGUAUGGCAGAGGGGAGUGGAAUUCCGCGUGUAGCAGUGAAAUGCGUAGAUAUCAGGAGGAACACCGGUGGCGAAGGCGGGUCUCUGGGCCGGAACUGACGCUGAGGAGCGAAAGCGUGGGGAGCGAACAGG
rnacentral:rRNA from 1 species